CCAGACUCCUACGGGAGGCAGCAGUGGGGAAUAUUGCACAAUGGGGGAAACCCUGAUGCAGCGACGCCGCGUGAGUGAAGAAGUAUUUCGGUAUGUAAAGCUCUAUCAGCAGGGAAGAAAAUGACGGUACCUGACUAAGAAGCCCCGGCUAACUACGUGCCAGCAGCCGCGGUAAUACGUAGGGGGCAAGCGUUAUCCGGAUUUACUGGGUGUAAAGGGAGCGUAGACGGCAGCGCAAGUCUGAAGUGAAAUCCCAUGGCUUAACCAUGGAACUGCUUUGGAAACUGUGCAGCUGGAGUGCGGGAGAGGUAAGCGGAAUUCCUAGUGUAGCGGUGAAAUGCGUAGAUAUUAGGAGGAACACCGGUGGCGAAGGCGGCCUGCUGGACGGCGACUGACGUUGAGGCUCGAAAGCGUGGGGAGCGAACAGGAUUAGAUACCCCGGUAA
rnacentral:rRNA from 1 species